CGCAGCCGCGGUAAUUCCAGCUCCAAUAGCGUAUAUUAAAGUUGCUGCAGUUAAAAGCUCGUAGUUGAAUUUCGGGAUCAAUAUGUCGGUCGUGCCUCGGUACGCACUGGCUUAUUGGUUUCUCCCUUCUGACGAACCAUGAUGUCAUUAAUUUGGUGUCUUGGGAAAUCAGGACUGUUACUUUGAAAAAAUUAGAGUGUUUAAAGCAGGCUCACGCUUGAAUACAUUAGCAUGGAAUAAUGAAAUAGGACGUUUGAUUCUAUUUUGUUGGUUUCUAGGAUCGACGUAAUGAUUAAUAGGGAUAGUUGGGGGCAUUAGUAUUCAAUUGUCAGAGGUGAAAUUCUUGGAUUUAUUGAAGACUAACUACUGCGAAAGCAUUUGCCAAGGAUGUUUUCAUUAAUCAAAGAACGAAA
rnacentral:rRNA from 1 species